rnacentral:lncRNA from 1 species
GGGCCUCUAAGACCAAAAUAGCCACUCGUACACUGAAUAUAGGCCGACAAGGCCAUGCAAUCUUUUACGUACAUGAUAUCUAUCUACAAGCCUCUAAGAAUACAUAAUUGUCAUAAAGGUCGGGACAGAGCCCCGACAUACCAAACAAUACACAUCUAAAUCGUACUAACCAAAAAAGCAACUCCGGAGCAAAUGGAGCGCACCAACAUUUUUCGCUGAGCUAAUAGCCUACUUAGAGGACCUCGACCUGUCUAUCGGGACCUGCAGGCAUGAAACGUAGCGUCCCCAGGUAAAAGGGACGUCAGUAUAAAUAAUGUACCGAGUAUGUAAGGAAUAAAAAUCAGUAAGUAAUAGACAUGAGAGAAACAUGGAGUAAAAGACUCGACAUAUACGUCUGCAUAGCUCUGUGAAUCAUUUCAUUUUUAUAAUGUCAUGCAUAUGCGUAUAAAUAUCAUACCAUGCAUAGGUAUAUGCGUUCAUAACAUCAUCAAGCCUCUGAGGGCAUCCAUCAUAUCAUUUCGGCCACUGUGGGCAAAUCAUCAACGUAUACCAUCUGAUCAGGUGGUGGUGCGUAUAUAACGCCGUAACCUUUUUCCAUAUCCCAUAUACAUAUAUAUACAUAUAUACGCGUAUAUAACGACAUCUGGUCAUGAGUCAAUGUAAAUGAAUGCAAUGCAUGAUAAGUACGUCAAUAAAAUCUUUCGAAGUGUCAUAAGACCAUUAUGCCUCUGAUUAAUAAGAUUUCUCGGAAUGUCAUAAAAAUAAUAAGCCUGUCGGAUAGACUUUAACAAAUACAUAUUUUUCUGAGACCCAUGAACAGAAGAUAUAAUAAUAAUUCAUAUGGGGAAUCAAUAAUAUAGACACCCCUAAUAUUUCUAUGAAUAGUCAUUUAUGAAAAUUGUGCAUUUUCUCCUUUAGUUCGUGUCGCAUAGAUCGUGCCAAAAAGAAUGAAGGGAUAGCCUUAACAUACCUGGAGUAGGGAAAAAUCCGUCUAAUAUUUUUGAGAAAGAUUGCACCGUACUUCCCUUUGCAAAAUCUCACGUUGAUGUUCUGAUCAUUGCAAAUCACGCAUGCAAUUUCUCUGCAACGUGAUGCUUCAUCUUCUAAUCUUAAAUGGGGAUAAGAAAACAUUAUCUUGCAUUGUUAAGGUGAAUGUAUUUUGGCAAUUCACGUGUAGAAGGCUAAAGAAAAUGUUAAUCCUUGUCAUGCUCUAAUAAUGUAACACCUUUCUACAUAUUGUGUGAGUCACUU